CAGCCAGCGGGGCCUGCGCACGGCGCGGGGGGCGGCGGGGGCGGCGGGGGCAUCUCGCCGGCAGACUGUUCUCAUCCCAGUCCCGGGCGGGGCAGACCCUUCUAGAGCCUCGGGCCCCGAGGUCCUGCUGGCAGGUGCCGUGGACGGGGGCGUCGGCCGUGGCCCGGCCAGCCCCGGGCAGAGGCUGUGGGGGCCCGAGGCCUCGUCUCCUGGAUGGAGUAAGCCCACGUGGAUCCUGCCCUCGCCGGGACACGGUGGGCCCAGGCUCCGGGCGGGCUUCGCUCUGCUCCCCGGCAGGGGACGGCGGCGGGGGCCCGGGGACCCUCGGGCCUGUCCUCCGGGAAGGCGGGAGGCUUCUGCGGGGGAGGUGCAGUCGAGGGUGGAGGGGUGCCGGGGGGGGGGGGGGGUCUCCUGGAGCCCUGAGCAAGCCUCCGGGGGGCGCUGCCGAGCGCGCAGUAUCAGGGCGCCUUGGCCCACGGCCUUGGACUUGGCCGCUCUGCCCGCUGCUCUCAGGAGAGGCCGUCGGGGCUGUGGCUGCCGGGCUGCGGGAAGGGAAUUCUGUUUCCUGCUGGCCGAGGUAAGAGAGAAAAGCCCCUGGGGGUAGACGCUGAAGCCAGCCCCAAGGCAGGCAUCCGGCUGUGGGCGGAAGCCCGGCAGUCCAGCGGAGCCGCUUGAUCCAGCCGUGCCUGAAGCCUGCAUGCGUCUGCAGCCCCCGUGCGCCUAGUCAGGGUCACGCCCCCGCCCCACCCCAGCUGCCGCUUCGCCGCGGAGCCCCCCACUUCGCCUGGUGGUGGUGGGGGCUCUGGAUCCCCAGCCCAGGGCUCCAGGCGGCCUCUGGCGCUACCCGAGCCGGCAGGACACGCCCAGGGGUCGUUUCUGCCUGCGAGGCGGCCGGCAGGGGCUCAGCCGGCGUGGCCAGAGCUUUCACGGGACGCCCCGCAGACGCCCGGGGGAGGCGUGCUGGGAAAGGAGCUGGAUGGAGCGAAGGCGCGACCGGCUGCUGCUUCCGCGAGGAGGGACUCUAGGAACGGGCAUUCCCCAGCUCCAUCUGCACACGUGCCUGCACUGGGUGUCAUCAGUCUGGAAUUUUUGUUUCAAAUCUGAUGUUCAAGAGACACUGGGGAAGCGGACUUGGCCCAGUGGCCAGGGCGUCCGUCUACCACAUGGGAGGUCCGCGGUUCAAACCCCGGGCCUCCUUGACCUGUGUGCAGCUGGUCCAUGCGUAGUGCUGAUGUGCACAAGGAGUGCCCUGCCACACAGGGGUGUGUGUGUAGGGGAGCCCCACGCGCAAGGAGUGCGCCCCGUAAGGAGAGCUGCCCAGCACGAAAGAAAGUGCAUCCUGCCCAGGAAUGCUGCUGCGCACACGGAGAGCUGACGCAGCAAGAUGACGCAACAAAAAGAAACACAGAUUCCCAUGCCGCUGACAACAACAGAAGCAGACAAAGAAGACGCAGCAAAUAGACACAGAGAACAGACAACCAUUGUGCGGGGGGAGAUAAAUAAAUAAAUAAAUCUUUGAAAAAUAAAAGACACUGCAGUGGUGGGGG
ensembl:lincRNA